UUCACGCAUGACGGUGAUGUCUCAGAGACUGUUGAUGAAACAACGACCCUCAUUGAUGCCAAGGAAGACACAUCAGAGGUGCAAACUCUGGUGGAUAUGAAGGCUUUGAAUCCUGACAUUGUGGUUGUGUGAACGAGAUGGCUACAAGAUUGUAUCG